CAGAAGAGAUAGAAAACUUGCUGAAUUUUCCUUCCCCCUUCCAAGACCCCCCUGAAUCCUAUCAAAAGCACAUCUUCCAUUCAUUGCUUCCCGGUGUCAUUAUGACAAGCGGCUACAAAUCAAUAGCAGAGGGAAAGGCAGGACCAACCCGCACUCACCAAGUGAUAAAGAUUCACUCUCAGCCCCGAUUUGCUAAUAGCCCAUAAUAGCAGCCAUUGGCGCCCCGCAUUAAAUAAUACAUUUCACUCCGCGUUUAUUAUGGGAUUUUUAAAACUCCUCACCAAAUUGGAUUUUCUCGAUGGUCUCUAAUUUCCACAUUUAUCAUUUAAAAUUAAACUGCUCUGUGGAAAGGGGGGAUAGAGAAGAAGAAGGUAGAGAGAGGCCAGACAGUACUGUAUUUUUCCUUUUGACUCCCCCCUUUAUGAAAACCCAUAAAUAAUAUCAGGUAUCACAGCUAUAAGCAGCAGGAUUUUUUAAAUAUUAAAAUUUCUAGAAAUCAGGAUGGAAUAGUCUG
rnacentral:lncRNA from 1 species